AAGUCGUAACAAGGUUUCCGUAGGUGAACCUGCGGAAGGAUCAUUAGAAAGGAGGGUCAGUUUACUGGCCCGCGAUAGAUAGGUUAGGUUACUAGUAUCGGUAGCUUCUUAUAUAGUCUUGGGACAUUGAUUAUCUCGCCGAGUUUGACAAAGGAUGUAACUCUUUGUCAAUACGUCGUCGAGGAAUCGUGUCACGAAACAACAUCUAUGUGCACCGUAUAUUGCAUUUGCGUAUUUUUCAGUUAGCGUCUGAUUUUUAAAUUUUGUUUACGGCAGUAUUGCUGUUGAACUAAAUGAAAAAACAACUUUUAACAAUGGAUCUCUUGGCUCUC
rnacentral:misc_RNA from 1 species